rnacentral:lncRNA from 1 species
AAACAUUUCUCUUCAAUAUUCUAUCAAGACUUAAAGACGCCAUGUACAAGGUCCGAAGCAAAGUUCCAUUAUUUUCAACCCUGCUCCCAAAUUUGCCCCUCAUUUAACAAGGCUUCAAUGAUUUCUUCGGUUUGGAGCAGUGUAAUAAUGAAAUUGAAGCCUGUUGGGUUGCAUCACCUCUUCCGAAUUCCACUUCUGCAACCACUCAUAAGUCACCGUUCAUCCUUUCACUAACCCUAGAUCCUUUUCGUUUCAAAUCAAAUCCACUUUUUCUCUACUUAGGUCUCUCUCUCUCUCAAAGUUCUGGAGCACUCCUCUCCAUCGAUUUCUCAAUUCUUGUGUGUCCCUCUCAUUCGAUCUCUCAAAUCCAUGACCCCAUCUAGUGACGAUAUGGUGUGUAGUGGUAAAAUUUGCUCCCUAGGGUUUCAGUGGUAGGAUUCUCGAGCAGAUCCGUGGCAACUGAGACGAGAUCCCGGUGGUAGAUGGCUGUUGAGGUAGGUUUCGACAACCCGGUUCCAAUUUAUCAGCUGCAUGUACGUUUUCUGACAACCGAGCGACUAUAAUGAUGAUUCCGACAACUUGGGUAGUGGUUUGCGACGACAACAAUGACUACCUGCGGUGGAGGUGAACUUCAGCCGCUAAACAACGGUGGUCUAUGGUGGUGGUUGUAUACUUCGGCCGCCAAAAUCGUCUUGUGUUGAAGUGGAGCAAAAAAUCUCUGAUCUCUAAGAUUACAGGGCCCUAAACUGCCAAACAAAUUUCAAAGCUCAUGAUUAGAUAGAUAGGUCUCAAAACGAAAGGGGGGGAAACCGAUAGAAAUCAAAGUAUGAGCAUAUAUUGAUUGUUCAAUCGAAAUGCAAACAAUUUUACAAUGUCUUAGUGUUGUUGAUUGCGAAAGGUAAAUUGUUUUCCGGUUUGUUAUUGUUUAAAUGUCACCAUCUGUUGGUUUUUAUAUACUUUUUUCUAAGUGUGUUUGGUUGAUUGAAUAGACUGGAUUUAGAGUUUGGGCAAAGGGGUUGUUUUUGUGAUUUUUUUUAUUAUGUAAUUUUAUAAUAUGAUUUGAAGUUGCUAAGUUCAAUGCAAAUUUUGGGGUGUAAAUUAGCUAAAUUGUCAUUUGGAAUGGUCUAUUUGGCGAUUGCUUAUUCGGAUUGAUUUUCUGCUUAUUGUGUUUUGUUGCAGUAAUAACAUGUUUUGAGGGCGUUUGGAUUGGUUAAAUUAAACUUUUUUAUGUGAUUAGUUGUGCAGUGAAACCAUAGCUGAGGUAAGAUAUAUUUGUUUAUCGUUCUUUGGAACCCUAACUGUCAGCACAUGUUUGUUUUGUUUCGGAUGGUGUGGUGUCUGAUGCGAGCAAAAUGAAGGCAGCCGCCUCUGCCAAGAGAGGAAGUAAAGCCUCCACCGCCGCUACUUCAGCUAAGGUGGUCCAGAUGCUAUGUCAACUAACUAUUUCGAAGGUUGUUGUUGUCUAAUAGAGAGGUUGCAAGGAUAACGAUACAUACGAUGAGCUACUUUUGGACAUUUCUGAUCCAGACAAGGGUGAUCCACUUGCUGUGGCCUGUGGUGGAGCCGACUCAGUUACACGGGACAACAUGGUCAGAUUAUCAACCCGAAUGCUCGAUAACUAUGAAAAUUUAUCCACACAUGUUGUCGUGCAUUAGAAACUUACAUAAGAAAUCUUGUAUGUGAUAGAUAGUUGAGUUUGAAUAGUUAGCAAUCUAAUGUAAGGUUAAGAGUACAUUAUUAGGUUAACAUUAUGUCUUCUUUAUGUAAUGUGCACGGUGUCUUAUGAUGAUACAUUCUUAAUAAAUACUUAAAUACAUUUAGA